rnacentral:lncRNA from 1 species
UUUUAUUUCUUUUGUUUGUCGAUUGCUGUGGCUAGCACUUCCAAAACUAUGUUGAAGAGCAGUGGUGAGAGUGGGCAUCCCUGUAUUGUUCCAGAUUUUAGUGGUAAGGCUUUCAGCUUUUCUCCAUUGAGUAUUAUAUUUGCUGUGCAUUUGUCAUAAAUGGCUUUGAUUAUGUUAAGAAAUGUUCCCUCUAUAUCACUUUGGUGAGAGUUUUUUUUUUUUUUUAAAUCAUAAAUGGAUGUUGGACUUUGUCAAUUGCUUUCUCUGGAUUUGUUGAGAUGAUCAUAUGGUUUUUGACUUUUCUUUUGUUAAUGUGGUGUAUGAUGUUGAUUGAUAUGUGUAUGUUGAACCAUUCUUGUCAACCUGGGAUGAAUCCAACCUGGUCAUAGUUUAUGAUCUUUUUGAUAUGUUGUUGGAUUCAGUUGGAUAAAAUUUUGUUGAGAAUUUUUGUGUCUAUAUUCAUCAAAGAUAUUGGCCUAUAGUUUUCUUUUUUGGUGGUAUCUUUGUCUGAUUUUGGAAUUAGAUGGUAGCAUCAUAGAAUGUCUUUGGGAGUGUUCCUUCUUCUUCAGUAUUUUGAAAAAGUUUAAGGAAGAUGGGCCUCAGUUCCUCUUUGUAUUUUUGGUAAUUCGCCUGUGAAGCCAUCUGGUCCUGGAGUUUUAUUUGUGUGGAGUGUUUUUAUAACACAUUCAAUUUCAUUUCUAGUGAUUGGUCUGUUCAGUUGAUGAAUUUCUUCUUGAUUGAGUUUUGGCAGGCUGUAAGACUCUAGAAAGUUGUCCAUUUCUUCUAGAUUGUCCAAUUUGUUGGCAUAUAAUUGUUGAUAGUAUUCUCAUAUUGUUUUUUGUAUUUCUGCAGUAUCAGUUGUGAUUUCUCCUUUUUCAUUUCUUCUUUUGUUUGUUUGGAUUCUUUCUCUCCUCUUCUUGGUGAGUCUAGCCAGAGGUUUGUCAAUUUUGUUUACCUUUUCAAAGAACCAGUUAUUGGUUUUAUUGAUUUUUUUUCUAUUGUUUUUUGAGUCUUUAUUUUAUUGAUUUCCCUUUGAUCUUUAUGAUUUCCUUCCUUCUGCUGACUUCAGGUUUUUUUUGUUCUUCUUUUUCUAAUUCAUUUAGGUGGUGGGUUAAGUUGUCAAUUUGAGAUCUUUUUUCUUUUUGAGGAAGGCCUGUAUUGCUAUGAACUUCCCUCUGAGCACUGCUUUUGCAGCAUCCCAUAAAUUUUGAGUGGUUGUGACUUCAUUAUCAGUUAUCUCAAGGUUUUUUUUUUUGUCUUUUUGCCACUUCUUGGGCUGCUUCUGUGGCACGUGAAGGUUCCCAGGCUAGGGGUCUAAUUGGAGCUGUAGCUGCUCGCCUAUGCCAGAGCCACAGCAACAUGGGAUCCGAGCCACACCUGCAACCUACACCACAGCUCUCGGAAAUGCUGGAUCAUUAACCCACUGAGCAAGGCCAGGGAUUGAAUCCACAACCUUAUGGUUCUUAGAUUCGUUAACCACUGAGCCAUGACGGGAACUCCUCAAGGUAUUUUUUAAUUUCCUUCUUGAUUUCCUCAUUGACCCAUUGGUUUUUUUGUAGCAUGUUGUUUAGUCUCCAUGUAGUAGUUUUUUUUUCUCAUUUCUUUUCCUGUGCUUGAUUUAUAGGUUCAUGCCGUUGUGGUCAGAGAAGAUACUUAAAAUAAUUUCUAUAUUUUUAAAUUUGUUGAAGUUAGAUUUGUGCCCCAAUAUGUGAUCAAUUCUUGAGAAUGUUCCAUGAGCACUUGAGAAGAAUGUGUAUUCUGAACUUUUUUUUGGAUAUAAUGUCCUGAAAAUAUCAAUUAAGUCUAAAUUUUCUGUCUAGAGGAUCUGUCCAUUGAUGUGAAUGGGGUGUUAAAGUCUCCUAAUAUGAUUAUAUUCCCAUCAAUUUCUCCUUUUAUGUCUGUUAAUAUUUGUUGUAUGUAUCUGGGUGCUCCUAUAUUUGGGGCAUAUAUGUUGACGACUGUAAUAUCCUCUUCUUGAAUGGAUCCUUUAACCAUUAACUAUGUCCUUGUUUGUCUUUCUUUAUGGCCUUCAUUUUAAAGUCUAUUUUUUCUGAUAUGAGUAUUGUAGCUCCUGCUUUCCUAUCUUGUCCACUGGCAUGAAAUAUCUUUCCCACCCCCUCACUUUCAAUCUGUAUGUGUACUUUGUCCUAAGGUGAGUUUCUUAUAGGUAGCAGAUUGAAGGUUUUUGUUUUUUUAUCCAAUCAGCCACUCUGUGUCUUUUGAUUGGAGCAUUCAGUCCAUUGACAUUUAAGGUGAUAAGUGAUAGAUGUUUAAUUAUUGCCAUUUUAAGCCUUGUAUUCCAGUGGAUUCUGUGAUUCCCCAUUAUUCCUUUCUUUUUUUGGUUGUAUGGUUUCCAUUUAUUUUAUGCUUGAGUACUUUUCUUUCCCUUUUUGUGAAUGUAAUGUUCAGUUUUGAUUUGUGGUUGCCCUGUUUUUUAAGUAUGUUAACCCCUUCCUAUAAACGUGUGCUUUUUAGUCUGAUAGUCAUGUAGGCUAAAA